rnacentral:lncRNA from 1 species
AUUUAUCAUAAUUCACAAAAUAUGUUAUAGGAUAAGGAUUACUUGAGGAAUUUGAUUGAAGUGAUGAACGCGUAAAGGGAUUUGCCAUGAUAGUAUUAGUCAUAUGUUCCCUCAACCUGAUAGAAGGUUGUUUAACUCGAUGUUCCCUGUCAAAUAGCUCCUCUCAUGAGACAUUCUGUGUCAUUACAUUUUCUGCUUCAAUAUUUACAUCAGUAGUAACACUUUGCAUCAUUUUC